CCAAUCGAUGAUGACGAGAUGGUGCACUUUAUUUUGACUGGUUUGGAUUUCGAUUACAAUCCUUUUGUCUCGUCAAUUCUUGUUCGUGUUGGCUCGGUUUCUUUGAGUGAAUUAUACUUCCACCUUCUGGCGUAUGACC